GACGAACGCUGGCGGCGUGCUUAACACAUGCAAGUCGAACGGAAAGGCCCUGCUUGCAGGGUACUCGAGUGGCGAACGGGUGAGUAACACGUGGGUGAUCUGCCCUGCACUUCGGGAUAAGCCUGGGAAACUGGGUCUAAUACCGGAUAGGAGCCAUUUUUAGUGUGAUGGUUGGAAAGUUUUUUCGGUGUAGGAUGAGCUCGCGGUCUAUCAGCUUGUUGGUGGGGUAAUGGCCUACCAAGGCGGCGACGGGUAGCCGGCCUGAGAGGGUGGACGGCCACAUUGGGACUGAGAUACGGCCCAGACUCCUACGGGAGGCAGCAGUGGGGAAUAUUGCACAAUGGGCGCAAGCCUGAUGCAGCGACGCCGCGUGGGGGAUGACGGCCUUCGGGUUGUAAACUCCUUUCGCUAGGGACGAAGCUUUUUGUGACGGUACCUAGAUAAGAAGCACCGGCUAACUACGUG
rnacentral:rRNA from 1 species